rnacentral:rRNA from 1 species
GGACGAACGCUGGCGGCGUGCCUAACACAUGCAAGUCGAGCGAGGAGAUUCCUCGGGAUGAUCCUAGCGGCGGACGGGUGAGUAACACGUGGGCAACCUGCCUCAUAGAGAGGAAUAGCCUUCCGAAAGGGAGAUUAAUACCUCAUAACAUUGCAGUUUCGCAUGGAACAGCAAUUAAAGGAGUAGUCCGCUAUGAGAUGGGCCCGCGGCGCAUUAGCUAGUUGGUGAGGUAACGGCUCACCAAGGCGACGAUGCGUAGCCGACCUGAGAGGGUGAUCGGCCACAUUGGGACUGAGACACGGCCCAGACUCCUACGGGAGGCAGCAGUGGGGAAUAUUGCACAAUGGGGGAAACCCUGAUGCAGCCAACGCCGCGUGAGUGAUGACGGCCUUCGGGUUGUAAAGCUCUGUCUUCAGGGACGAUAAUGACGGUACCUGAGGAGGAAGCCACGGCUAACUACGUGCCAGCAGCAGC